rnacentral:rRNA from 1 species
AUGGAGCUCCAGCCGGUGCGCGGCCGCAGCCCGGUGCGCCAGGGCUCGCCGCGGGCUGCGCGCAGGCGCUCCCAGGCGAGUCUCACGCCGCCGGUCUCGCCUCCACUCUCCCCCACGUCAGUGUUGCCAAGGCGUGCACUCUCCAGGAGGGAGGAGGCUCGGGCUACGGCAACCCCUUUGGCGGCCCCGAGCUCGGAGAUGCUUAGGCUGUGCUCGCCCACGAGUCUGCUCCCGCCUUUAUCUCCGGUGAAGCCCCCGGGGUUCGAGGCCUCGCCCACGCCUCCACUCAUCUCCGUUGGGCCGCUUCUGCGCACACCCUCACCGGUGCGACACCGUAGGGCUGCCGCGGACCUGCAGCCGGCGGGUGUUGGCCUGGCUCUGUUGUUCGAAGAAAGGCAGGAGCCCCUGCUGCCCUCCCCUGCAUCAACGCCUCCAAGACCCCCUGCUGCGCGCCGCAAGACCCUUGCUGGGGUGAACAUAGUCAGGACAAGCGCUGGGCUCUCCCUGCACAGAGCCGGUGCGAGACUAAAAGCUGCUGGCAAAUCCAGGAUGCCGCCGGCGCCAGCGGCCAAGGCGGCUGAGAUCUUGGUUUGUCGUAGUCUGGGAAUCGUCAAGGACGGAGAAGACAUCACAACCGCGGCUCUGGAUGUAUUUGCAGAGCGUUUCAAGGAGAAGCUGCCACAAGAAGUGAUCUCAGCCAUGCGGGAUUUAUUCAAGCUUGAUGAUGUGCAAGCUACAGACGUUGAGGACGCACUCAUCCAGCAUGGUGGAGCGGGUGCCAUGGAUGUGGAGAGGAUGGAGGACGCUGCUGCUGCUCUGCAGGCGUUCAAUUGA